UACGUAGGGUCCGAGCGUUGUCCGGAAUUAUUGGGCGUAAAGGGCUCGUAGGCGGUUUGUCGCGUCGGGAGUGAAAACACGGGGCUUAACCCCGUGCCUGCUUCCGAUACGGGCAGACUAGAGGUAUGCAGGGGAGAACGAAUUCCUGGUGUAGCGGUGAAAUGCGCAGAUAUCAGGAGGAACACCGGUGGCGAAGGCGGUUCUCUGGGCAUUACCUGACGCUGAGGAGCGAAAGUGUGGGGAGCGAACAGG
rnacentral:rRNA from 1 species